CCUACGGAGGCAGCAGUGAGGAAUAUUGGUCAAUUGACGAGAAUCUGAACCAGCCAAGGAGCGUGAAGGAUGACUGCCCUAUGGGUUGUAAACUUCUUUUAUAUGGGAAUAAAAUGUUCCACGUGUGGGAGUUUGUAUGUACUAUAUGAAUAAGGAUCGGCUAACUCCGGGCCAGCAGCCGCGGUAAUACGGAGGAUCCGAGCGUUAUCCGGAUUUAUUGGGGUUAAAGGGAGCGUAGGUGGAUUGGUAAGUCAGUAGUGAAAGUUGGCGGCUCAACCGUAAAAGUGCAGUUGAAACUGGCAGUCUUGAGUACAGUAGAGGUGGGCGGAAUGCGUGGUGUAGCGGUGAAAUGCUUAGAUAUCGCGAAGAACUCCGAUUGCGAAGGCAGCUUACUGGACUGAAACUGACACUGAGGCUCGAAAGUGUGGGUAUCAAACAGGAUUAGAUACCCGUGUAGUC
rnacentral:rRNA from 1 species